rnacentral:rRNA from 1 species
AUUGAACGUUGGCGGCAUGGAUUAGGCAUGCAAGUCGGGGGAAUCCCAGCAAUGGGGGAACCGGCGUAAGGGGCAGUAAGGCAUGGGUACCUACCUUGGGGUUCGGGAUAGCCAUCAGAGAUGGUGGGUAAUACCGGAUGACGUCGUGAGACCAAAGAUUCAUCGCCCUUAGAGGGGCCCAUGUGAUAUUAGCUAGUUGGUGGGGUAACGGCCCACCAAGGCGAAGAUGUCUAGCGGGUGUGAGAGCACGACCCGCGCCACUCGCACUGAGACACUGGCGAGACACCUACGGGUGGCUGCAGUCGAGGAUCUUCGGCAAUGAGCGCAAGCUUGACCGAGCGAUGCCGCGUGAGCGAUGAAGGCCUUCGGGUUGUAAAGCUCUUUAGUGGGGGAGAAAAGCCGCAAGGUGUGAUCUAUCCCAAAAAUAAGCACGGGCUAAGUUCGUGCCAGCCGCCGCAGUAA